rnacentral:lncRNA from 1 species
GAAUGGGACGACAAGGAGGAGGAGGACGCGCUCCAGCCGUGGGAGGACGAUUGGGACGACGACGACGUCAAUGACGAUUUCUCGCAGCAGCUUAGAGCGGAGCUAGAGAAGAACGAGUCCCAGGCACCGAGCGACGAUAUUUCGCAGCAGAAGAACACCAAUACUUCGAGCUCCUAGGUAGUGGUAAUCAUUCUUUCGUCCUCUAUUCUUUUUUGUCUAAGAAGUCCUUGUCUUGGUGACAGAUUGACUAGCCGAUCUUAAAGCUCUUUGUCCUUUCCUGGUGGAAUCAACCGAGCUCGAUUUUUUUUUUCUUCGUGUUCUUACUGGCAUCACAUGUCAAUGCUCCUUUCCUGCCAUUGGGAUUGCUGACUCUUUCCUCUAUUUUUUUUGGUUUUCGCGUCAUAACGGGUGUGUUUCCACUGUUGUAGUUCUAAGUGUGCACACAGGGACGCCAAGUAAGUUUGCGUUGUUUAUUUGGAUUUGAAUGGUCAUAACGAGUGUGUUUUCACUGUUGUAGUUUUUCCAAGUGUGGACACAGCCAAGUAAGUUUGCUUUGUUCUGUAGUAGUUCUUCUAAGUUUGGACACAAGGAGGCUCUCCAUCACAACCAAGUAAGUUCGCUUUGUUUAUUUUGGAUUUGAAUUGUCAUGGUUGCGUGGCUCUCGGGCACAGUAGCGUGCGUUCUUGUGUACAGUGAUUGUUUUUCUCUUAGAGCUUUUAGCUUUAGAUUGUCUUCCCCCGAGUACUUGGUUCUGAUUCCUUUGUUCAAAUGCUUGCAGGUUCUUGGUGGAGGAGCUGGGGAACCAUCUAUG